AAAGGUAGCAUAAUCACUUGUCUCUUAAUUGGGGACUAGUAUGAAUGGCAUCACGAGGGCUCAACUGUCUCUUAUUCCCAAUCAGUGAAAUUGACCUUCCCGUGCAGAGGCGGGAAUGCUUAUACAAGACGAGAAGACCCUGUGGAGCUUAAGUCUCAUAACUCAAAACAUACUAAUAUACACCGAUAGGGGUAAAACGUAUAAACCAAUUGAGUUAUAGUCUUUGGUUGGGGUGACCUCGGAGCAUAGAGCAACCUCCGAAUGACUAUAAUCUAGAUCAACCAAUCUAAAUGUAAUAAUACCAGUAAUUGACCCAUCUUUUGAUCAACGGAACAAGUUACCCCAGGGAUAACAGCGCAAUCCUAUUUGAGAGCUCAUAUCGAAAAUUAGGGUUUACGACCUCGAUGUUGGAUCAGGACAUCCAAAUGGUGCAACCGCUAUUAAAGGUUCGUUUGUUCAACGAUUAAAGUCCUACGUGAUCUGAGUUCAGACCGGAGAAAUCCAGGUCGGUUUCUAUCUGUAAAUUUAUUUCUCCCAGUACGAAAGGACAAGAGAAAUAGGGCCAACGUCCCAAAUAAGCCCUAGAAUCAACAUAUGAAUCAAUCUAAAUAUACUAAAUCAAUUUACACCUACCCUAGAGCAGGGUUGUUAAGA
rnacentral:rRNA from 1 species